AUCCAGCUGACGAGUCCCAAAUAAGCCGAAACGCGCGUCCUGAAU
rfam:Schistosoma mansoni, Puerto Rico, WGS project CABG01000000 data, contig: 0231